UUGACCUCGGAUCAGGUAGGGAUACCCGCUGAACUUAAGCAUAUCAAUAAGCGGAGGAAAAGAAACCAACCGGGAUUGCCUCAGUAACGGCGAGUGAAGCGGCAAGAGCUCAAAUUUGAAAGCUGGCCCCCUCGGGGUCCGCGUUGUAAUUUGCAGAGGAUGCUUCGGGUGCGGCCCCUGUCUAAGUGCCCUGGAACGGGCCGUCAGAGAGGGUGAGAAUCCCGUCUUGGGCAGGGUGCCCGUGCCCGUGUGAAGCUCCUUCGACGAGUCGAGUUGUUUGGGAAUGCAGCUCUAAAUGGGUGGUAAAUUUCAUCUAAAGCUAAAUACCGGCCGGAGACCGAUAGCGCACAAGUAGAGUGAUCGAAAGAUGAAAAGCACUUUGAAAAGAGAGUUAAACAGCACGUGAAAUUGUUGAAAGGGAAGCGCUUGCGACCAGACUCGGCCCCGGGGUUCAGCCAGCACUCGUGCUGGUGUACUUCCCCGGGGGCGGGCCAGCGUCGGUUUGGGCGGCCGGUCAAAGGCCCCAGGAAUGUAUCGCCCUCCGGGGUUGUCUUAUAGCCUGGGGUGCAAUGCGGCCAGCCCGGACCGAGGAACGCGCUUCGGCACGGACGCUGGCGUAAUGGUCGCAAACGACC
rnacentral:rRNA from 1 species